rnacentral:rRNA from 1 species
GACGAACGCUGGCGGCGUGCUUAACACAUGCAAGUCGAACAGAAAGGCCCUGCUUUUGUGGGGUGCUCGAGUGGCGAGCGGGUGAGUAACACGUGAGUAACCUGCCCUUGACUUUGGGAUAACUUCAGGAAACUGGGGCUAAUACCGGAUAGGAGCUCCUGCUGCAUGGUGGGGGUUGGAAAGUUUCGGCGGUUGGGGAUGGACUCGCGGCUUAUCAGCUUGUUGGUGGGGUAGUGGCUUACCAAGGCUUUGACGGGUAGCCGGCCUGAGAGGGUGACCGGCCACAUUGGGACUGAGAUACGGCCCAGACUCCUACGGGAGGCAGCAGUGGGGAAUAUUGCACAAUGGGCGGAAGCCUGAUGCAGCAACGCCGCGUGCGGGAUGACGGCCUUCGGGUUGUAAACCGCUUUCGCCUGUGACGAAGCGUGAGUGACGGUAAUGGGUAAAGAAGCACCGGCUAACUACGUG